CUGCCCUAUGGGGGCUGCCCUAUAGCAGCUGUGCCCCUGUGCCUUAUAGGAGCUGUGCCCUAUGGGGGCUGUGCCCUAUAGCAGCUGUGCCCCUGUGCCUUAUAGGGGCUGUGCCCUAUAGGGGCUGUGCCCUAUGGGGGCUGUGCCCUAUGGGGGCUGUGCCCUAUGGGGGCUGCCCUAUAGCAGCUGUGCCCCUGUGCCCUAUGGGGGCUGUGCCCUAUGGGGGCUGCCCUAUGGGGGCUGUACCCUAUGGGGUCUACCCUAUAGCAGCUGUGCCCUAUGGGGGCUGUCCUAUAGGAGCUGCGUCUUAUGAGAGCUGUGUCCUAGGGGAUUUGUGCCCUAUUUGGGGCUGUGCCCUAUGGGGUCUGCCCUAUAGACACCAUAUUCUAUGGGGUCUGCUUUAUGGGUUCUGUGCCCUAUGGUGGCUCUGUGCUCUAUGGGGUCUGCCCUACGAGGUCUGCCCUAUAGGAGCCACACUCUAUGGGGGCUGUCCUUUAUGGGGGGCCGUGCCCUAUAGGGUCUGCCCUAGGGGAGCUGCUCUAUGGGAUCUGCGCCCUAUGGGGUCUGCCCCUCUUACCCACAGCCAGCCCCGGGUCGCUGUUCAUGGUCUGCACGAUCUCCAUGCCCUGAGAGCACGGCCGCGUUAGGGACAUCGCCACCACCCCCGUGUCACAUCCCCCCCCAUCCCCACA
rnacentral:lncRNA from 1 species